GGGGGCGACUAGGUUUCGACGGGGACAGUUGAGGUCAAGGUUGCAUGCCGAGCGCUCCGGUGACUCGUUAAACCGCCGGGAAUAAAUAUACUCGCCGACAAUUACGAGUACGCUCUAGCUGCGUAAGCUAGCGUCCCUCAGCCUUUCUCCUGCGGGGGUUGAGUGGGCGACGGGCAGCAGGAUAGCCAAUGCUCCGAGCCUGUUGGAGCGGCGGCGAAACGCUUAGCAGGCUGGUCUGGGAGGACCUUUUCCGAGGGGGCCGUACCGGACGAGAAUCAAAACUCGGAAUAAGCAUGUAGAAGCUUUGCACUGAAGGUUUCCGGACGCGGGUUCGAUUCCCGCCGCCUCCACCA
rnacentral:tmRNA from 1 species